rnacentral:rRNA from 1 species
UACGGAGGGAGCUAGCGUUGUUCGGAAUUACUGGGCGUAAAGCGCACGUAGGCGGCUUUGUAAGUUAGAGGUGAAAGCCUGGAGCUCAACUCCAGAACUGCCUUUAAGACUGCAUCGCUUGAAUCCAGGAGAGGUGAGUGGAAUUCCGAGUGUAGAGGUGAAAUUCGUAGAUAUUCGGAAGAACACCAGUGGCGAAGGCGGCUGACUGGACAUGUAUUGACGCUGAGGUGCGAAAGCGUGGGGAGCAAACAGG